rnacentral:hammerhead_ribozyme from 1 species
AUCCAACUGACGAAUCUCAAACAGGAAGAAACGCGAGUCGUAGAU